rnacentral:tRNA from 1 species
CGCGGACGGGCCGGGGCCGGCUACGGCGGGUUCUUCUGGCGCGCCCCGGCCGGUCCGGAACCGGUCCACGCGUUCGGGCAGCGUGCCGGCGG